UGCCGAAUUGUGUAACGGUAGCACACCGGUCUCUGACACCGUUUGUCAAGGUUCGAAUCCUUGUUCGGCAGCCA
rnacentral:tRNA from 4 species